UCUUUGUUUUUACAGACAGCAGAUUUCACUGGAACUGAUUGUUGAUGACCUCAGCAGUAGGCGUCAUGAUCUGUGACAGAUUGUUGCUUAAAUGCACUGACAUAUGACUGAUUUAGACUGAACAGUGAGAAUGGAGGAGACAAAUGGUGGUUUUCAGACACUUGUCUAUGAAGACGAUUUGCACGAGGAAGAGUAUCCUCCUUACCAUCAGUCUAACAGGGUACAAGUGUCCAUGUUCACUAUGAGUCCUGGGAGACGCCACAGACUGGCUGCAGUGUGCCUGGCGCUUCUUGCUGCUGUUCUUCUGAUACUGAGCAUUGGCCUGGGGAUCCACUGGUGGUGAUCCAAAUCAGUGUGGAGCAGAAUGCACCAUAGAGAUGUACAACUCUCCUGUUCAACACCUCAAGACUGAAGACUGCAAGGAAAGAACGCUAAUGUACACCGAGCAUCUGAAGAACAACAUGCAAGUGCUCAAACACAUUGGAUCCAAAACCUGUUCCAGUUCCUCAGACACCAUCAGAGACUGUUUUGAAAGCCUUCUACUAUCAAUCUGGAUAAAAAGAAUCUUUGCCAACCACUGCAAGU